GCAAAGGAUUCUACCCGCCGCUC
rnacentral:siRNA from 1 species